UACGUAGGGGGCGAGCGUUGUCCGGAUUCAUUGGGCGUAAAGAGCUCGUAGGCGGCUCGGCAAGUCGGGUGUGAAACCUCCAGGCUCAACCUGGAGACGCCACUCGAUACUGCUGUGGCUAGAGUCCAGUAGGGGAGCGUGGAAUUCCUGGUGUAGCGGUGAAAUGCGCAGAUAUCAGGAGGAACACCAGCGGCGAAGGCGGCGCUCUGGGCUGGAACUGACGCUGAGGAGCGAAAGCGUGGGGAGCAAACAGG
rnacentral:rRNA from 1 species